rnacentral:rRNA from 1 species
CCAUUCCGAACACGGAAGUUAAGCUCUUUAGCGCCGAUGGUACUGCACGGGCGACUGUGUGGGAGAGUAGGUCACCGCCGUUU